rnacentral:snRNA from 1 species
CUGAGAUUCAGCCCUUUGUCGCUAA